rnacentral:rRNA from 1 species
GACGAACGCUGGCGGCGUGCUUAACACAUGCAAGUCGAGCGGGCACGCCCGGGUUAGGGGGGGACCGCGGGUGGAGAAGGGGGGACGAACCCUUCAGUUCGCUGUACCUCAGGGAGAGUUAACCUCAUACAAGUUAGGCCCAUACGGGGAAGGGGGUCCUGCCGAAGGAUCGGGCCUGGUCUGAUUAGGCGGUUGGUGAGGGUAUGGCGGACCAAGGCGACGAUCGGUGGCUGGUGGGGGAGGAUGAUCAUCCACACUGGCGCUGAGACACGGACCACACCCCUACGGGAGGGAGCAGUGGGGAAUAUUGGACGCUGGGGGCAACUCUGAUACAGCCAUGCGGGGUAAGUGAGGCCGGCCUUAGGGUUGUAAAGCUCUCUUCUCCGAGACGAUAAUGACGGUACCGGAGGAAUAAGCCCCGGCUAACUACGUG